GACGAACGCUGGCGGCGUGCUUAACACAUGCAAGUCGAACGGAAAGGCCCUGCUUUUGUGGGGUGCUCGAGUGGCGAACGGGUGAGUAACACGUGAGUAACCUGCCCUUGACUUUGGGAUAACUUCAGGAAACUGGGGCUAAUACCGGAUAGGAGCUCCUGCUGCAUGGUGGGGGUUGGAAAGUUUCGGCGGUUGGGGAUGGACUCGCGGCUUAUCAGCUUGUUGGUGGGGUAGUGGCUUACCAAGGCUUUGACGGGUAGCCGGCCUGAGAGGGUGACCGGCCACAUUGGGACUGAGAUACGGCCCAGACUCCUACGGGAGGCAGCAGUGGGGAAUAUUGCACAAUGGGCGGAAGCCUGAUGCAGCAACGCCGCGUGCGGGAUGACGGCCUUCGGGUUGUAAACCGCUUUCGCCUGUGACGAAGCGUAAGUGACGGUAAUGGGUAAAGAAGCACCGGCUAACUACGU
rnacentral:rRNA from 1 species